rnacentral:tRNA from 1 species
ACUUAAAUAAUUUAAAGAAAAUAUUGAUUUGUGGAGUCAAAAAUAUGAAGAAUUCAUUUUAAGUU